GGUCUGGUUCCUUCCAGAACAUAUGGGGUGUAAGUUCUACACAAAUUGGGGGUAGGUUACACUUAUUUUGGGAUGCAUGGAGUUCUAUAACUUCUGACCCUUAUAUACAGCAUAGUAUUCAGGGAUACGAAAUUGAAUUUAUUCAUAAAAACCUUCCUCCGGUUCAGCAUGCACCUAGCCGAAUGUUUGUGCUUUCACAA